rfam:Rattus norvegicus chromosome 9, whole genome shotgun sequence.
GGGGAUUUAGCUCAGUGGUAGAGCGCUUGCCUAGCAAGCGCAAGGCCCUGGGUUCAGUCCCAAGCUCCG